AUUGAACGCUAGCGGGAGGCCUUACACAUGCAAGUCGAACGAGCGGCGGACGGGUGAGUAAUCUAUGGGAAUGUGCCCAGUAGAGGGGGAUAACUACUCGAAAGAGUGUCUAAUACCGCCUACUAUUGGAUGACCCCAUAUGGGAUUAGCUAGUUGGUGGGGUAAAGGCCCACCUAGGCCACGAUCCGUAGCUGGUCUGAGAGGAUGAUCAGCCACACUGGGACUGAGACACGGCCCAGACUCCUACGGGAGGCAGCAGUGGGGAAUUUUGUCCAAUGGGGGAAAGCCUGAUGCAGCCAUGCCGCGUGUAUGAAGAAGGCCUUCGGGUUGUAAAGUACUUUGGGCAGAGAGGCGGUAUCCGCAGAAUAAGCACCGGCUAACUCCGUGCCAGCAGCCGCGGUAAUUC
rnacentral:rRNA from 1 species